CAGUCGCCACGGUAAAACGAAGGGGGCUAGCGUUGCUUGGAAUGACUGGGCGUAAAGGGCGCGUAGGCGGCAUGUACAGUCAGAAGUGAAAUUCCUGGGCUCAACCUGGGGACUGCUUUUGAUACGUGCAGGCUAGAGUGAGGAAGAGGGUUGUGGAAUUUCCAGUGUAGAGGUGAAAUUCGUAGAUAUUGGAAAGAACACCGGUGGCGAAGGCGGCAACCUGGUCCUUUACUGACGCUGAGGCGCGAAAGCGUGGGAGCAAACAGGAUUAGAUACCCCUGUAGUCCCUGUCUCUUAUACA
rnacentral:rRNA from 1 species